CGUCCCCCCACCCCCUUCGCUGUCCUCCAUCAGUCAACCGCCGUCAUCGCCGUCUUGUGGUGCUUUAGGAGUAUUAUUCAUUUUUAAGAGGUGACAUCCUUCGAAGGAUGUUGCUAGGGCUCUUCAGGAGAGUGUUAGGAGGCUAUAUAUUGAGCCCUAUCACUCUUGUCGGGAGAUUCCAAACAGUAUUUGUCAGGCAAUGUUUAAUGAAUUCAAGACUUUAUGUAUCUGGGAGCCAAGGUACAAUAUGGUCAUUGCGACCACUUUUGAAAAAAAGCAAGCGUCAGAUUGUCUAGUUGGCUAAAGAAAGCUAGGGAUGAUUGAGCAUCUUCGAGUUGGAUGCUGCCUCAUAUAUUUGAAGAAUUAUGCCGGUAUUGGGAUAUCGAAGAAUUUAAGGCCUUGUCCGAUCAAGGAAAAAAAGCAAGAGCCAGCCUAAAGGGUGGCUCAUUGCACACCGGAGGUGCAAAGAGUGUUGGUACGAUUCGGAGGGAGAUGGUAAUAUUUCUAAAUUUUAAGUUUAAAUUCAUUUUGUGAAAUAAAUUAUUUCAUAAAAUAUUAUUUCAUUAAUUGUAUUUUUAUUUAUAGGAAAAAGAAUUGGGACACACUCCCUAUCGCCAUGAAAUCUUUAAAAAAAACCAUGUGAAGAAAAAGACUAAUGAGUCGGAUCCGAAUGAGUGGGUGGAGGAAAGGGCCGAACGAGCCUAUGCAAGUUAUUUAAUAUAUAUUAUAAUAUAUUUUGAUUCUAAGUUUUAUUUUUAAUAUAUAUAUAUAUAUAUAUAUAUAUAGUUUGAUUAUAACAUUUAUUUUCUAAUAUGCAGCAAGAUUAUGAGCGGCACGUACGUGAGAUGGGAGAUUCGAUUCAGCUAACGCCUAAACAGUCCACUCAAAUUUGAACAGAAAAAGUGUUUGGAGGCAGCCACAAGGGCCGAAUAUAUGGAAUGGGCUCUAGGAAUAAUGUACGACGACUCCAAUCAGGUUUAGAAGGUAUUGGAUCGUCGCGUCAAGCUGAGGCCAUUGACGGAGUUCAGAUAGCUACAAUGUCUCAGCAAAUUGCAGAACUUACAUGCGCAUUGGCAGAAUUAGAGAAAAGAAGAAUCAAGGAUCAAAAAAGUAUGAAUGAACAAGUUGAGCAAAUUAAAGAACAAGUGUUCAACCUCGCCCUUCAGCCUCCACUCCGUUAUUCAAGAGCGUCCACUCCGGAUGAUUCCGAUGAUAGUGAUGAAUAUAUGGAAAAUAGGCCUUAGGGCUCCCUAUGUUAGUUUAUGAACAUUUUGAAUUUUUUUUGUUAACUUUGAAACACUUUAAAUCGUUCUAAAUUAUGAUUUUAUUCAUUUUAAGUGUUUAAUUAUAUUUGUUAUUAUGUAU